GGAAAAAAAAACAAUAUUAACUGUUAUAGGCUUGAGAAAGCACAGAGGCCACUCCCAUGGCUACCAUCAAGCCAUUACUUCCACUUUCUCCUUCCUUGAAGCAGGCCAUUCCCUCUCCCUCUCCAUGGAUUUCCUACAAACCCACCUUUGAUUCCACGGUUUCUCUUUCCAUGUCACACUUGAAUCGCCUUCCACGACUAGUCGCUGUCUCUGUGGCCUUCAACCCUUCUGGGAAUUUUGACCUCUCUAUAUAUGACGAUGAAGAUGAUUCAACUAAAGUUUCCCCACCAAUGCCUCCCACAGAAGGUCGGAUUGAAGUUGUUAUUGAUAAUGAUGUUAUUCGCCGUCUUGACUUGUCCCCAUUCCACACUGCAACUGGAAUUACUUCACCUUCAUCUGCUGAACCAAAGGAGUUUCUUGAACGUACAAUUGGGUUUACCAUUAACUAUACAAGAGAAGAUCCACAUGAUCCUCGAGAAUUAUCGGAGUUCCCUGACAUUCGACUCUGGUUUGUGAGGCUUGAUGCUACUUAUCCAUGGCUACCUGUAGUGUUGGAUUGGCGAGCUGGAGAGCUUGCUCGUUAUACAGCCAUGUUGGUUCCUCACCAGAUGAAUAUGAGGAUGGGGGUCGUCUUUAAUCCAGAGGCACUGGAGCUGUUCAUAAUGAAGAAGGUUUUUGUUGUUUACUCUUGGUUGAAGCAACAUAAAAUUCCAAAGCCUAGAUUGAAGACAAGUGACAUGGCCCGGAUGCUUGGUUUUGGGAUUGGAGAUGAAUUGUUCGACUUGAUUGAUCAAGACCCACUUGCUCCAUCAUAACCGAGACCUCCAAGAUUUUCAAAUGAAGUCCAUAAUUCAUCACAAAAUGUCACUUCUGUGCCCAAUGGUUGUAAAUCAAUAUUAAGGAGAUGCUGCAAGGAAGAAUCGGAAGUUCAGCAGAGCAGAUAGAUUCCAAUUUGAAAGAGAAUAUUUUCAAAGGCUGGACCUAUGUCAGAGGAACUAUAUCAGUACAACCAAGUUGGCCAAAACCAAUUUGCAGUCAUCUGUCUGGACACCUAACUUUUGUUGAAAAGAAAAUAGAAGGAUAGGGCUAAUUGUUAGGCUGUGUUACAGCAUGUAUAUCCUGACUUAGUUUCUAUCACAAAUUAGGAAGAAAAGAAAAGGGCAAACAAACCUCGGA